ACUUAAUAAUUCACUGCCUUUAAAUAUGUCAUGAGACCUCCGAGAACAGUUAUACACUAUUAAAUAAUCAUUGCAUUUGCAGUGCUAAUCUCUUGGCAUGGCUGAAUAAUUUAGAGAUCUUUUCUAUAAAGGUCUAAAUCAUUUUUAGGUUAGAGGCUGAAUGGAAUGAUUCAAGUGGCUGGCUGGGGACUCACUGAGGACCAUAUAGGUUGAAGUAUAAGGGACAGAAUCGUUAGCAGUCACUGAACCCUACAUACACUGUAGUAUUCUGUUAUUUUUGGUACCAGAUCGAUUACAUUAAAGACACUUUUGUUCUUGUGACUUACAGUAAAUAUAUAUGAAGGACUGAAAUCGCCAAAAUCAAAAACAAAUAAAUUACCUAAUUAAUGAAUAUAGGCAGGGGUGGACUGGCCAUCUGGCAUACCGGGCAUUGUCCCGGUGGGCCGUUGACCCAAUGUGGGCCGGUCCGGUCCGCUAUGUUUUUUUGUUUUUUUUCUCUCUCUAAAUUCCCUCCAAUUGGGCCGGCCAAUUGGUUACAGAGGGUUAGCAAUGUGUUGCCAGCAUCGACACAUAUUAUUGGUCUAUGUUUGUCAUUGUCAAUCAAUCAUGGGCUGACAGGCUCAGAGAGCCCUGACAGUGCUGUCAAUCACAACACAAACCUAAUGGCAUGGGCCAGAGUCGCGGGACGGGCUGCUGCUGAGCUGAAAAUAGAUAAGCGUAAGAAACGCCCAGGUGACGCUGAAAAACUGCGACUUAAAAAGCUGAAGUCUCUGGAAGUGGAAGCUGCUAAAUGUUGGACAUUGACAGACCUAUUUGGUGCCCGGGUCACCACCCCAGCAGGUGCUGCUGCACCGGGAGACGAGCGAGUGGAGGCAGACAUGGUGAGUAACGUUAGCCUGAGGCUGGCUAGGCUACAUUUUGAGACAUGUCCAAAACAAAGUAGAAAAUGUUUUUCCAUUGAAUGUGAUGUGACCUAAUUAACUGCAUACUUGUGACAACAUAUUAGCCCAGAGUUGAAGGGCUGUGACUGUUGGUAGUUGUGGUUGAUUUUGUUUAAAUAUGCCGAAUUGUGAUAUUAUGGAUUAUUAUUGUUCAGAUGAUUUAGCUAAACUAGUUAACAGCUGCUAACGUCAGCAGUCUCUUGUUGCCAUAGCAACACUUAACAUUGACAUGGACUAAUGAGCUAUAAAUAGAGAUGCAGAAUCAAGCUGUAUUGAAUUGAAUUGAAUACUUUGAAUUUUAGCACAAAAUACAAGUAAACCUAGAGGAAAUAAUGAGUUUAAUUUGCAAUAUUUGCCAUUGAAUUUAUUGUAAUCUUUCAAUUCAUAGGGUUAGGGUUAGAGGCUUAAUAAUGUCUCCAUGUCCCUCUCAGGUUGACCACUUGACAUGUGAGAGCCUGAGGAGUUAUUCCCCCUCCGUCCAUUUUCAAGGACUUGCUCUCUUACUGCCUCCACUUCACCAUUUUUUGGCUACUGAGACGUCUCUGAUUGGUUGACCACCCUAUAUAUGAGAGCCUAAGGAGUUGUUUUCCCUCUGUCCCCUUUUGAGGACCUUCUUUGUCUCCUCCAUCAUUCACUGGGCCACUUUUGGGUUCCUGAGCUUAUUUUAUGUGGUUUUCCUGACCUGCUAGAAGUUCUUCUAUGAUGCUUGAGAGAGAGAGAGAGAGAGAGAGAGAGAGAGAGAGAGAGAG